rnacentral:rRNA from 1 species
GUAGGGAAUAUUGCACAAUGGAGGAAACUCUGAUGCAGCGACGCCGCGUGAGUGAUGAAGGCCUUCGGGUCGUAAAGCUCUGUCGCAGGGGGAUAACACAAUGAAGGUACCCUGUAAGAAAGGAUCGGCUAACUUCGUGCCAGCAGCCGCGGUAAGACGAGGGAUCCUAGCGUUGUUCGGAAUCAUUGGGCGUAAAGCGGAUGUAGGUGGCUAUGUAAGUCAGAUGUGAAAGCCUGGGGCUCAACCCCAGAAGUGCAUUUGAUACUGCGUAGCUUGAGUGUCGGAGAGGUUACUAGAAUUGUUGGUGUAGUGGUGAAAUACGUAGAUAUCAACAGGAAUACCGGAGGCGAAGGCGGGUAACUGGCCGAACACUGACACUGAGAUCCGAAAGCGUGGGGAUCAAACAGGAUUAGAUACCCUAGUAGUCC